rnacentral:lncRNA from 1 species
CCACCAAAACAAAGAAGGUGUUAUUUUUAUUAGCAGAUAACAUAGAUUUACCUCGUCAUGUAUUUUUGUAAUCUCUCCUGCCAUGACAUAUCGGCCGCAAUGCAUUAAAUGACAGUCAUAAUCCAUUGGUGGAAUUGUAUCUUCCACGACAUACAAAACCAAAAAGCCUCAAACAUGCGUAUCCAUAAUUUCCAAAACCAUGCAGACAACCACAAGCCAAAUGUAGUAUCAUCUCCAUGCCUAUAAAAUGUGAAGACCAAGAAUAGGCACCAUGCAUGCACUAACGAAUGGAUGGUUAGAGCAUAUGGCAACUAAUUAUAAGUGACAUGUAUAUAAACUUUCAUAUUGAUUCUAUGUUUACAGUAGCUAUCUUUCAAAAACAAUUAUUGCAUGUCACUGAAGAAUGAAGUUUCCUCAAGAAACU